UACGGGGGGGGCAAGCGUUGUUCGGAUUCAUUGGGCGUAAAGGGCUCGUAGGCGGCCAACUAAGUCAGACGUGAAAUCCCUCGGCUUAACCGGGGAACUGCAUCUGAUACUGGAUGGCUUGAGAUUGGGAGAGGGAUGCGGAAUUCCAGGUGUAGCGGUGAAAUGCGUAGAUAUCUGGAGGAACACCGGUGGCGAAGGCGGCAUCCUGGACCAACACUGACACUGAGGAGCGAAAGCCAGGGGAGCAAACGGG
rnacentral:rRNA from 1 species